rnacentral:rRNA from 1 species
GAUGAACGCUGGCGGCGUGCCUAAUACAUGCAAGUCGAGCGAACAGACGAGGAGCUUGCUCCUCUGACGUUAGCGGCGGACGGGUGAGUAACACGUGGAUAACCUACCUAUAAGACUGGGAUAACUUCGGGAAACCGGAGCUAAUACCGGAUAAUAUAUUGAGCCGCAUGGUUCAAUGGUGAAAGACGGUUUUGCUGUCACUUAUAGAUGGAUCCGCGCCGCAUUAGCUAGUUGGUAAGGUAACGGCUUACCAAGGCAACGAUGCGUAGCCGACCUGAGAGGGUGAUCGGCCACACUGGAACUGAGACACGGUCCAGACUCCUACGGGAGGCAGCAGUAGGGAAUCUUCCGCAAUGGGCGAAAGCCUGACGGAGCAACGCCGCGUGAGUGAUGAAGGUCUUCGGAUCGUAAAACUCUGUUAUUAGGGAAGAACAAAUGUGUAAGUAACUAUGCACGUCUUGACGGUACCUAAUCAGAAAGCCACGGCUAACUACGUG